rnacentral:snoRNA from 1 species
AUCUUAUGGUUUGCGCAUUUAGCCAAUAUUCUAUGGAAUCUCUCCCAUACUUCAUGUAGAGGCUCGCCUUUCUUUUGCUUAAAAUUCAUAAUUUCAUCUCUUGAGUC